UACGAAGGGUGCAAACGUUGCUCGGAAUUAUUGGGCGUAAAGCGCACGUAGGCGGCUUGGCAAGUCGGAUGUGAAAUCCCUCGGCUCAACCAAGGAAGUGCAUCCGAAACUGCCGAGCUUGAGUACUUAAGAGGAUCGCGGAAUUCCCGGUGUAGAGGUGAAAUUCGUAGAUAUCGGGAGAAACACCAGUGGCGAAGGCGGCGAUCUGGGAAGAUACUGACGCUGAGGUGCGAAAGCGUGGGGAGCAAACAGG
rnacentral:rRNA from 1 species